rnacentral:lncRNA from 1 species
AUAAAACUGUGCUACUGAGAUUUAUGAGAAGCCAAGAUAUGCACACCUGAAACUUGUUUCAAAAAUCCAUAUGUCAACUUGCAGAAGAGAAGCUGUGAUAAAGAUUCAGAUGGAAAUGAUAUGGUCAUGGAAGGAGUAGAAAGGACAAAGUCACCAUCAACUAAGCACUGAGAAACAGCCAAAUUCCAAUGUCUUCCAUUCUGACCAUCACAGUCAUCAUAUGAAACUUGCUUUUCAGGU